AUUGAACGCUGGCGGCAUGCCUUACACAUGCAAGUCGAACGGUAACAGGUCUUCGGAUGCUGACGAGUGGCGAACGGGUGAGUAAUACAUCGGAACGUGCCCAGUCGUGGGGGAUAACGAAGCGAAAGCUUUGCUAAUACCGCAUACGAUCUACGGAUGAAAGCGGGGGAUCGCAAGACCUCGCGCGAUUGGAGCGGCCGAUGGCAGAUUAGGUAGUUGGUGGGGUAAAGGCUUACCAAGCCUACGAUCUGUAGCUGGUCUGAGAGGACGACCGGCCACACGGGGACUGAGACACGGCCCAGACUCCUACGGGAGGCAGCAGUGGGGAAUUUUGGACAAUGGGCGCAAGCCUGAUCCAGCAAUGCCGCGUGCAGGAUGAAGGCCUUCGGGUUGUAAACUGCUUUUGUACGGAACGAAAAGCUCUGGGUUAAUACCCUGGAGUCAUGACGGUACCGUAAGAAUAAGCACCGGCUAACUACGUGCCAGCAGCCGCGGUAA
rnacentral:rRNA from 1 species